AUGACAUGUAUUUAGAAGGCCUAUAUAUUACAUCUUCAUCAUAUAACCAACAGUAUGUAUAUAUAGUUUUAAUUCAAAGGUAUACAUGGCUCUUAGACGCUUUACCGAAUAUCCUUAAAAUUUACGGACGUUAAACUACACCAGUAACGCUAUGAACAGUAUAACACGCAGCUCGACCCUGUAUUCUCUCCCUUACGAUGCAGGACGCAGUAUAUAGAUGUGUAUUUCAAAAGGUACAUCGUUUUUUAUAUAUUAGACCGAUUUAUCUUAACCUACGGACGUUAAACUACAUCAACGUAACUGUGAUCGCUUUGAUGGAUAGUUCGACCCUGGUUCCUCUUCUUUGUGUGGAAUUGACGCAGGGAAUAGGGGAUGCGAUUGUUUUUAUUUGGGAUUGUGUUACCUGGCUGCCUGUAGGGUUCGUUAGCCCCCAAACACCUGUCCAGUCUGUAUUUGUAUAUAUUUGGCUUUUUUUUUUUUCUUCUCUUUUUCUCACGUAUCGUUCAUCGUAAGACGUAAGCAAUAUUAUAACAACCAGCAAAACAUUGGUACUUUGAACACUUUUUUGUCACUCUCUGUAUGUGUUUCUGUUUUAAAGUUUUCUUCUAAUUUUUCGUUUAUCUGCUUUUAUGUUCGUUCUCUUUAAUUUUCUGCUUUCUAUUUCUUUUUCAUGAUUUUUAUUUAUUCUUGCCCUUUUUUCUUAGCUGCUCUUCUUUCUUUCCAUUAUUUUUUGUUUAUUGUACUUCUAUUUCAUUUCUUGCUUUCUUUUCUAUGCCGUUUUUCUUCUAUAUAACAUUACUCUUCUGCUGAUUUUCUUUAUUUAAUUCCUGUUUUCAUUUUCUUUUUUCAUUCUUUUCUUCUUUUUUCUUGCUUUGUUUCUUAACUACUCUGCGUUCUUCUCAUUAAGCAUUUGCCUAUUUUCAUUCAAUUUUAUUUCUUGCUCGAUAUUUUACAUUUUUUUUCUUAUAUGCAUCACGUACCUUAAACACAAAAGAAAUGUUCAUAAGUGUUCAGAUGAGUCAUUAUUUUAACUCUCAUAAGCUCACCAACCCGACACUUUUAUAUUUCCGCCAAGAUUUCCUUCUUAGUUUCAUCACGUUGUCGGCAUCACAAAGGAUAAAGGUUCUUACCCGCUCACUUGAGUCACCACUUUAGUUAGCAUUCAAUAACCCACCAAUCCAUCACUUCCUCUUUCAUAACUGUACCUCGUUGUCAUUCUCUACUCGUUCAUUCUUAUCUCUUUUAUCUUUUCUCACAUUUUUUCCUCCACGAGUUUCCAUAUUCGGUAAUGAUUGUGUGGCGCCUCGUUGGACUUUUCAUAGCAACACCAUCACGUCACCGUCAGCUUUGGAAUCGAACCCUUAUCUUCCUCACACCUUAAACACUGUGCUAGAUUACCCGGAUGCGUAUUCCCGUUCUCUCUACUGGUAUAUGUCGCCUACUCUUGAACGGUGCAGGCUUCGUUAGGUUAUGUUAGGUUAGGUUAGGUUUGGUAUGUGGCGCCGACUCUUGAACGGGGCAGGCUUCGUUAGGUUAUGUUAGGUUAGGUUAGGUUUGGUAUGCGGCGCCGACUCUUGAAUGGGGAAGAUUGCGUUAGGUUAAGUUAGGUUAGGUUAGGUUUGGUAUGCGGCGCCGACUCUUGAACGAGGAAGAUUGCGUUAGGUUAAGUUAGGUUAGGUUAGGUUUGGUAUGCGGCGCCCACUCUUGAACGGGGAAGAUUGCGUUAGGUUGAGUUAGGUUAGGUUAGGUUAGGUUAGGUUUGGUAUGCGGCGCCCACUCUUGAACGGGGAAGAUUGCGUUAGGUUGAGUUAGGUUAGGUUAGGUUAGGUUAGGUUAGGUUAGGUUUGGUAUGCGGCGCCCACUCUUGAACGGGGAAGAUUGCGUUAGGUUGAGUUAGGUUAGGUUAGGUUAGGUUUGGUAUGCGGCGCCCACUCUUGAACGGGGAAGAUUGCGUUAGGUUGAGUUAGGUUAGGUUAGGUUAGGUUAGGUUAGGUUUGGUAUGCGGCGCCGACUCUUGAACGAGGAAGAUUGCGUUAGGUUAAGUUAGGUUAGGUUUGGUUUGGUUAGGUUUGGUAUGCGGCGCCGACUCUUGAACGAGGAAGAUUGCGUUAGGUUGUUAGGUUAGGUUAGGUUUGGUUUGAUAUGUGGCGCCCACUCUUGAACGGGGAAAGUUGCGUUAGGUUAGGUUAGGCUAGAAUAGGAUAAGUUAGGUUUGGUUAGGCUAGGUUAGGCUAGGUUAAAGUCAUGUUAGGUAAUUUGAGGGUGAAACACGAUGAGAGUAUUUUCCAGUGCACCCCAAGGUUAGUUUAGGAGCCAUAGCUGAGCGCUUUUACUCAGGGACCACAUAGCCAUAGAGAGAUUAGAAAUGCGUCUCCAGGAUGUUACGCUCACGACUGAGGGCACAAGCAACGUUGCCAAAUUGUCGUAAUCUGAACACUCCAUUUAUCAUUUUUAGGCCCCCCAAUCUGUCGUACAUUCAUAAAUAACGAUAGUCUAUUAAAGUCAUCAUUGAAACUUAAAAUUUGAUGGUUUUCUUUCUUUUUACAACAGUUAUCGGUGAGAAACUACGAAUAUGCAUUACGAUUUGUACGAUAAUUUGGCAACGCUGGGCACAAGGUGUUCUCACGUGACCCAGGUUCGAUGAUAAGACGGAAACGGAGCGAGUGACGUAUUAUCAACAUGACGUAACACAUUCCUAGGUAGUGAUAAACGGCGAUGGAAAGCGGUGCACCAGUAAUUAAUAUAAAAAAAAAUGGCGUUGCGUAUCUUAUCUUAUGCGGCGUCACUGUUAUGUCCCUCAUAGUCCUGUAUCGUGUCCUGGCCACCCCCUUAAUGUCACCUGUUUUUUUUUUUUUUUUUUUUUUACAACAAAGGAGACAGCUCAAGGGCACACAAAAAAAGAAACAAUAAUAAUAAAAAGUCCGCUACUCGCUGCUCCUAAAAAGAAUCCAAAGAGGUGGCCGAAAGAGGGGUCAAUUUCGGGAGGAGAGGUGUCCAGAUACCCUCCUCUUGAAAGAGUUCUAAUCCACCAAAAUGCUCACCUUCCUGGAUAGAUGUAGAUGAGGUAAGCCUUUUUGCCGCGCUUCCUAUAGACUGUUUAUCAUGGGUUCUGUUUUUUUCCGCCCUUUCUGUAGACUGUUUAUCAUGGGUUCAGGUUUUUUCCGCCCUUUCUGUAGACUGUUUAUCAUGGGUUCAUUCUUUUUGCUUCCCAUCCUGUAGACUGUUUACAAUGCGUUCAGUUUACACUCCGGUGUUUAAUAUUUAUUACCCGUUGAGUUUACAGUUCAACGAGCUAUCAAGUUUUAUACCCCAGAAUUAAAUGCCUCUUCACCUUGAUGUCGUACUACUUAAAAGCUGUUUAUUAUGCGUUCAGUUAAAUUCCUCGCUGUUUUAUUUUUAUUAUCCGUUGAUUUCACAUUUCAACGAGUUAUCAAAAUUUAAAACACAAAAUAAAAUGGCUUUUCACUUUGUCGUACUACUUCAAGGUUGUUUAUUAUGCGUUCAGUUGAAAUCCUCGCUGUUUUUUUAUUUAUUACCCGUUGAUUUCACAUUUCAACGAGUUAUCAAAAUUUAUAACACAAAAUAAAAUGGCUUUUCACCUUGUUGUCGUACUCCUUAAAGGUUGUUUGUAAUGUAUCCAGCUUAGAACCCAUGACGUUUAUUGUGGGUCCAUUACACAAUCUAUUUAAUCAGUUCAUAGUUCAGAUACCACUUCAGGAAACAGUAAAUCACAUGCCUCGACACUCCUUCUAAUUUCACCUCCAUUCGAUUGUUUAUCAUCCGAGUUUCAACUGAGCGAGUUUAUGAUCCGCUAACCAACUCAACAUCUCAAAAAAAAAAAAAAAAAAAAAAAAAAGGUUUGGCGCACGUUCUACAGUAGCUUCUCUUAAUGUCCGCAGUCCAUCGAAUUUAUAGUCAAUCCGGUUUAUCAUCCAUCCAUCCACCAAGCAACUCAACAUCUCGGAAGAA